GACGAACGCUGGCGGCGUGCUUAACACAUGCAAGUCGAACGGAAAGGCCUCUUUCGGGGGGUACUCGAGUGGCGAACGGGUGAGUAACACGUGAGUAACCUGCCCUUGACUUUGGGAUAACUUCAGGAAACUGGGGCUAAUACCGGAUAGGAGCUCCUGCUGCAUGGUGGGGGUUGGAAAGUUUCGGCGGUUGGGGAUGGACUCGCGGCUUUUCAGCUUGUUGGUGGGGUAGUGGCUUACCAAGGCUUUGACGGGUAGCCGGCCUGAGAGGGUGAGCGGCCACAUUUGGCAUUAACUACGGCCCAGACUCCUACGGGAGGCCAACGUGGGGAAUAGUGCAAAAUGGGUGGACGCCUGAUGCAGCAACGCCGUGUGAAGGAAAACGGCCUUCGGGUUGUGAGCCGCUUACGAUCAUGACGAGGCUUUGUGUGACGGUAGUGGGUAAAGAAGCAACGGCUAACUACGUG
rnacentral:rRNA from 1 species